rnacentral:ncRNA from 2 species
ACACAAUCUCGCGGGAGCUCAUGGAACGUGGGCUGAGAGGGAGCGCGCCGCUCCGACCGUCAAACCUGAUCCGGAUAAUGCUGGCGCAGGGAGUACAGGAACAGUGAAG